rnacentral:rRNA from 1 species
GGAGGAUCCGAGCGUUAUCCGGAUUUAUUGGGUUUAAAGGGAGCGUAGAUGGGUUGUUAAGUCAGUUGUGAAAGUUUGCGGCUCAACCGUAAAAUUGCAAUUGAUACUGGCAGUCUUGAGUACAGUUGAGGUAGGCGGAAUUCGUGGUGUAGCGGUGAAAUGCUUAGAUAUCACGAAGAACUCCGAUUGCGAAGGCAGCCUGCUAAGCUGCAACUGACAUUGAGGCUCGAAAGUGUGGGUAUCAAACAGGAUUAGAUACCCUGGUAGUCCACACGGUAAACGAUGAAUACUCGCUGUUUGCGAUAUACAGCAAGCGGCCAAGCGAAAGCGUUAAGUAUUCCACCUGGGGAGUACGCCGGCAACGGUGAAACUCAAAGG